rnacentral:rRNA from 1 species
GAUGAACGCUGGCGGCGUGCCUAAUACAUGCAAGUCGAGCGAACAGACGAGGAGAUCUCUCCUCUGACGGUAGCGGCGGGCGGGUGAGUAACAAGUGGAUAACCUUCUUCUAUGACUGGGGUAAUUUCGGGAGAAAGCAGAUGAUAAUGGCUCACAUGAUGAACCGGAGGGAUCAACAGUGAAUGAGAGCCUUGCUGUCACAUAUAGAUGGAUCCGCGUCGCAUUAGCUAGUUGGUAAGGUAACGGCUUACCAAGGCAACGAUGCGUAGCCGACCUGAGAGGGUGAUCGGCCACACUGGAACUGAGACACGGUCCAGACUCCUACGGGAGGCAGCAGUGGGGAAUAUUCGGCAAUGGGCGAAAGCCUGACGCAGCAACGCCGCGUGAGUGAAGAAGGUCUUCGGAUCGUAAAACUCUGUUAUUAGGGAAGAACAAAUGUGUGAUUAUCUAUGCACGUCUUGACGGUACCUAAACAGAAAGCCCCGGCUAACUUCGUG